rnacentral:rRNA from 1 species
GACAGGUGGUGCAUGGUUGUCGUCAGCUCGUGUCGUGAGAUGUUGGGUUAAGUCCCGCAACGAGCGCAACCCUUAAGCUUAGUUGCCAUCAUUAAGUUGGGCACUCUAAGUUGACUGCCGGUGACAAACCGGAGGAAGGUGGGGAUGACGUCAAAUCAUCAUGCCCCUUAUGAUUUGGGCUACACACGUGCUACAAUGGACAAUACAAAGGGCAGCGAAACCGCGAGGUCAAGCAAAUCCCAUAAAGUUGUUCUCAGUUCGGAUUGUAGUCUGCAACUCGACUACAUGAAGCUGGAAUCGCUAGUAAUCGUAGAUCAGCAUGCUACGGUGAAUACGUUCCCGGGUCUUGUACACACCGCCCGUCACACCACGAGAGUUUGUAACACCCGAAGCCGGUGGAGUAACCAUUUGGA